rnacentral:lncRNA from 1 species
UUCUUUUCUUGAGAGUUCGUUAAUACAAUAGUCGAUAUUGUACUAUACUAUAUUUGUUAAAUAUAUAAAACAGAACAAUUAAUUUAUAACAACAAUAUAUUGUGAAAAUGAUAAAAAAAAAUAAGAAUGAUGAGAAAGAUGAAGAGUUGGCGAGGAGUAGACAAAGGAACAAGCAGAGGAGAAGGAGGAAGCAGUAACAGAGAGAAUACUAUUCUAGUUUUGAAAUAGAAUGGAACACAAUAACAUUGUAUUACAUUUUGGAAAUAAAAUCUAACUAUACUAUAUAUAUAUAUAUAUGUGUAAAAUAAAAUAUAUUUAAAAUCCAGAUUAUGAAAUUUAUAUAAAAUUUAUAAAAUACAUGUUUUUUGAUAGUUUCAAAACAUAUUAUGUGUAGAAAAAAUAUAUGUUUUUAUUAUGUAAACUACAAAUUAAAGUUCAAUAAUUGUCUUAACAGAAAUUAAAAGUAUUUAAAAGUAAAAAGGAAAAACAUAUUUGUAAAAAAAUAGGAAAAAAAAAGAAGAAACUAUUCAAACGUAAAUGUCUGCAUGACAAGGACAAUAUGACAAUUAUUACACAAAUAUCUAACCUUUUCCUAGCUAUGUAUAUAUACUUCAUUUAAAUUUUUUACAAUGGAUAUGGUCCCAAAUUUCUCUAGAUACAAAGACGGUUUUAGCUUAUAGUUAGGUAUUCACAGAUUAUAAUGUAAUAUCCGACAAGAACGAUCCACUUCGUUGAAUUCCAAAUAUCUUAAAAAAAAAAAAAAAAAAAAAGAAUUCCAAAUAUCUUUGUUUGUAUAAAGUACAAGUGCGAUGCAGACUGUUUUUUUGGGCAAUGCAUACUCUCUCUGUUGGUUAAAAAGUGUUUAAAAAUUGUUAUUUUAUAUUUCUAAUGUAAUUUUAUAUUCCUACUAUUAUGUUUUCU